CAGCCGCCACGGGAAUACGAAGGGGGCUAGCGUUGUUCGGAUUUACUGGGCGUAAAGCGCACGUAGGCGGAUCGAUCAGUCAGGGGUGAAAUCCCAGAGCUCAACUCUGGAACUGCCUUUGAUACUGUCGAUCUGGAGUAUGGAAGAGGUGAGUGGAAUUCCGAGUGUAGAGGUGAAAUUCGUAGAUAUCCGGAGGAACACCAGUGGCGAAGGCGGCUCACUGGUCCAUUACUGACGCUGAGGUGCGAAAGCGUGGGGAGCAAACAGGAUUAGAUACCCCCGUAGUCCCUGUCUCUUAUAC
rnacentral:rRNA from 1 species